AUGGACCUCCUCCAAGACGCGGAGGUGGACCUCGGGGCUCCGCCUCUAGAACCCUUUAGGGUUGGUGACGACUUGGAGGAAGAUGAGGAGGAUGAAGGGGAUGACGAGGAGGAGGAGGUGGCCGAGAUAGGGGAGGAGGCAUUCACCGCCGCUUCCCGCCCACACGCGUGGUCGACAAACUACACCGAGGCGGAAGAUAUCCUCUUGGUUCGUGCUUGGGCAGCUGUGGGGAUGGAUGCAAGCACCGGCACCGAUCAAACCGGUAAACGGUAUUGGCAAAGGAUCGAGGACAACUAUUGUAGGAUCAAGCCGAAGAAUAGUGGGUUUAUCCCUCGCACUUACCGGUCGCUUCAAGGCCGGUGGGAGUUGAUGAAGCCCGCUUGUGCUCGUUGGAGUGCGGCCAUGGACCAAGUGAGGGAUGCACCACCUAGUGGAACCGUGGAGAGUGACUAUGAGAUAAUUGCUGGCAUGAGGUACAAGGAGAUGGCCGCUUCCAAGGGCAAGCCAUUCCCAUUUAAGCAUGCUUGGGCAAUUCUUCAAACCUUUGACAAGUGGAAGUUGAGGGAUCAAGAGACUGCAUCCAAGAAGUCGGCAAUGCUUAGGAUGGAUGAUAGUGAAGAUGAGGAGGAGAGGAACUUGGGCAAGCCCGAGGGAACCAAGAAGGGCAAGCUAAGGGUGAAGAUGGAAGGAGAGGCGUCAAGCCUAAGGGAGAAGAUGGAGCACAUGAUGAAGGCAAGAGAGGAAUUGACAACGAAGACAUUGGAGACGAAGCUUCUUAUCACCGAGAAGAAGAAAGAGGUCAAGCUUGCACAAGUUGAAGCAAAGCGUGAAGAAGCAAAGUGCAAGGCCGACUUGGAGGAGAGGAUGAUCAAGCUCAAAGAGGCAAAGGUAUGGAAAGAACUCAUGGUGGAAGAGAAGGAGCACAUGAUGAUGUCCAAGAAGGACAUGGAUGAUGAUUUUGUGAUGUAA
rnacentral:rRNA from 1 species